AACCCCAAUAACAAUCACAAGAAGGGUCACUUGAACCAUGUGACCAAGGAGGAAGCACAGAAUGCGCCGGAUAUCGUACUCGGUACGUUCCUUGUCAACACAAUACCUGCCACGGUUUUGUUUGAUUCUGGAGCUUCUCACUCGUUCAUUUCAAAGAGUUUUGUUUUGCAACAUGAUUUUUCGAUGCUUCCUUUGGAAAAAUCCAUGAUCAUCAAGUCCCCCGGGAAUAAGCAAAUUACUCAGAGUUACUGCCAAGGUGUGGUUAUUGAGUUUGAAGGACUAAAGUUUCAGGCAAAACUCAUUGUAUUGGAAAAUAAAGGACUGGAUGUUAUCCUAGGAAUGGACUGGUUAACCACCAACAAGGGAUUUAUCGACUGCUUCAAUCGGACGGUAAUUCUUACUCAUCAUCACGGCAAGACGAUAAAAGUUGCAGCUCAAGAAAGACCAAUGUCACGACAACCAAAGUUGAACAAGGUGGACAUUUCAGAGUUAAGAAAAGUUCCAGUGGUGUGUGAGUUCCCUGACGUAUUUCCCGAAGAACUACCAGGCAUGCCACCAGACCGGGAAAUAGAGUUCAUCAUUGAACUAGCACCUGGAACCACCCCCAUUUACAAGAAACCUUACAGAAUGGCACCCCCGAGUUGGUAGAAUUAAAGAAGCAAAUAAAAGAAUUACUGGACAAAGGAUUUAUACGAGCCAGCUCCUCACCUUGGGUUUCACCAGUAUUAUUUGCAAAGAAAAAGGAUGGGACACUGAGGUUAUGUAUAGACUAUCGAGCACUCAACAUGGUCACCAUCAAAAACAAAUAUCCGAUACCACGGAUAAAUGAUUUAUUUGACCAGCUCGCACAAGCCAAGGUUUUCUCGAAAAUUGAUUUAAGAUCGGGGUAUCAUCAAUUAAAGGUACGGACAGAAGAUAUCGCCAAGACAACAUUCACCUCCAGAUAUGGAUUGUAUGAAUUUACAGUAAUGCCGUUUGGACUUUUUUACAAACGCCCCCGCAUAUUUUGUCCACCUCAUGAACAAAGUGUUUAUGAAAUUUAUGGACAAAUUUGUUGUGGUGUUCAUUGAUGAUAUUCUGGUAUACUCAAAGACACCGGAAGAACAUGCUGAACAUCUUAGAAUUGUACUAGGAGAAUUGAGGAAACAUCAAUUAUACGCCAAGUUCACCAAAUGUGAAUUUUGGUUAAGACAGGUUGGUUUUCUAGGCCAUGUAUUAACCCAAGAAGGUGUUGCCGUAGACCCAGAAAAAGUCAAGGCCGUACUUGGCUGGAAACCACCAGCCAACGUAACAGAUGUACGAAGUUUCCUAGGAAUGGCUGGAUAUUACCGAAGGUUUAUUGAGGGAUUCUCCACCAUAGCAAAAGCAAUGACACAGUUACUCAAGAAGGAUAAGAAAUUUGUAUGGACUGAAGCAUGCGAGAAAAGUUUCCAAGAACUCAAAAGGAAAUUAACAACAGCACCGGCAUUGGUUGUGCCAGACAUACACAAAAGUUUUGAAGUGUAUUGUGACGCAUCCCGGAAGGGCCUCGGGUGCGUAUUGAUGCAAGACGGCAAAGUUGUCGCAUAUGCUUCCAGGCAACUACGAAAGCAUGAAGAAAAUUAUCCUACUCAUGACUUGGAGUUGGCAGCAGUCAUCCAUGCACUCAAAGAGUGGAGGCACUUUUUGCUUGGAAAUCGUUGUGAAAUAUAUACGGAUCAUAAAAGCCUCAAAUAUAUUUUCACACAACCAGAACUCAUACGGCAACGACGCUGGUUGGAAUUAGUCAAAGAUUAUGAUGUUGGCAUUCACUACCAUCCAGGAAAAGCGAAUGUAGUGGCAGACGCUCUUAGUCGAAACCCCAGCUCGGGCAACGACAGUCUACAGAACUUGAGGCCUGAAUUUCAGCAGGAGUUCGCCAAACUCAACUUGGUGAUGGUCACUGAGGGCAACGUGUCAAAUCUGGAAAUACAGCCCACCCUAAUGGAACAGAUUAAGAAAGCUCAGCAUGGACAUCCCAGCAUUGAAGGCAUAAAGAAAAAAGUGAGUCUGGGCAAAGCUUCAGAAUUCGUCGUAGACGAUGAGGGAAUAUUAUGGUACGAGGACAGACGUUGCGUACCAAACAUAGAGGGCCUCAAACAGCAAAUUCUAACCGAAGGCCACACCGCUCCAUAUUCAAUCCACCCUGGAGGGACCAAAAUGUAAAAGGACAUCCAGGAAAAAAUUUGGUGGCACGGUAUGAAGAGGGAUAUAGCCACAUUCAUUGCAUGUUGUGAUUCAUGUCAACGCAUUAAAGCCGAGCACCAAAAACCAGCAGGGCUAUUACAGCCAAACAGGAUACCUGAGUGGAAAUGGGACGAAAUUGGAAUGGAUUUUAUUGUCGGACUACCUCGGUCACAAAACGGAAAUGAUGCCAUAUGGGUCAUCACCGAUAGAUUAACUAAAGUGGCACAUUUCAUCCCGGUAAAGACAACCCACACCACUCAGAAGCUUGCCAAGCUUUACCUCUCCCGUAUAGUUUGCCUGCAUGGAGUUCCAAAGACUAUAAUGUCCGACAGAGGCACUCAAUUCGUCUCUAGAUUUUGGGAUCAUUUACAACAAGCUCUGGGGACUCGACUAGCAUUCAGUACAGCAUACCACCCCCAGACUGAUGGACAAACUGAACGCGUGAACCAAAUUCUAGAGGACAUGCUGAGAGCAUGUGUUCUCACCUAUGGAACCAGUUGGGAAGAAAGCUUGCCAUAUGCCGAGUUCGCAUAUAACAACAAUUACCAAGCCAGUCUACAAAUGGCACCUUUUGAAGCCUUGUACGGGCGGAGAUGGCGUACUCCAUUAAAUUGGUCAGAAACAGGAGACAGUCGUAUCUUCGGCCCAGACAUGCUCAAGGAAGCCGAGGAGAAAGUUAGACUAAUCAGGGACCGACUCAAGACAGCUCAAAGCCGACAAAAGAGUUAUUACGAUCGAAAGCAUCGUGAAGUCAGCUUUGAACCCGGUGAAUAUGUGUAUCUACGAGUAUCUCCUAUGAGGGGCCUGCAACGGUUCAAAGUUAAAGGAAAGCUAGCCCCAAGAUUUAUUGGACCCUUCUGUGUAGUUGCACGAAGAGGCACAGUAGCCUACCAGCUAGACCUACCCAAAGAGCUGUCAGACGUCCACGACGUGUUCCACGUCUCACAGUUAAGGAAAUGUGUAAGCUACCCCGAGAAGCAGGUGUCUCAUGAGAACAUUGACGUGCAACCAAACCUCACCUACAUGGAACGUCCAAUAAAAAUACUGGAGGAGUCUGAAAGGAGGACCCGUCAGAAAACAAUUAAGUUUUUAAGGUUCAGUGGAGCAAUCACACCGCGGAUGAAUCAACAUGGGAAAGAGAGGAUUUUCUUCGGACAGAGUACCCACACCUAUUUAAGGAUCAGCUGAAAUCUCGGGGACGAGAUUUUUCCUAAGGGGGUAGGUGUUGUAACACCCCAAAAAAAAAUUUAUUUGGUUUUAUUAAUUUCCUUUUUAGGGGAAGGAGGUUAUUUAAUUUUUUUUUAAACCUCUCCUUCUCAAAAACCUUUAAGGCAAGUAUUUUAUGUGUUCUUCCCAACAUUUACUUUGGUCUUGAGGGCUUUCCAUUUAGUGUUGACUCAACACAAAUAUUUUCUUUGGGAAAGUCUUUGAAAUCCUUUCUUUUAAAAAUAAUCAUAUGACUUAUGAAUUGAUUCUUCCUCAUUCAAUUUUUUUUCUUACCAUGACCUAGGUUGAAAAUUUUCUUCCAAAAUCCCUCCCUCCACUUUGAGUCAAGUCAAAUAUCCAAUCCCAGCAAGUUCAACCCAUUUUGAUUUUGACUCUAUUUAUUUUAUCCUCAAAACUAUUUCCGUCAUUUAUUUUGAACCUUAGUGAUUUACAAAGGAACCACCAGAUCCCUUUUGAGUUUUGGUUCCAAACAAACUCCUCUGACUAGUCCUUAGUACCCCCAACCAAGAUCCCUCAAGAUCCACUUGUCCACAAUUCAAAAUUUUCAAAUUUUGCUUGCUGCAAGUUUGGACCAGAUUUGCCAUUUUGGGUGAAAUUCAUUAUUUUCUUCUCCAAAAAUUCUGAGAUAAAUCAGGCAGCCCCCAGAUGCAUUGAGAGACCACCUCACCAAAGAUCAGCUCCAGAAAAAUUUUCCACAUGCCUGAAUCAUUUCAUCGAACAGUUGGCAUGCACUGUUUCUGUUCAAAUUCAGAAAGUUCAGAGUUUCAGUGUUGGGUUCAGUCGACAGCGUCGUUUUCUUCAGAGCCUCGGUGUCAAUCUCACCAGUGCUCGCUCUGGCCUCUUGCUCACUGCUCCUUCUUCUUAUCCAUCGCGCCGCACGGUCGUCUGGACGGUUGCGAGCGUCGGCGGUGAGCUGGCAGAGGUACACCGCCCCCGUGAGCAGCGACAGCAACGCUCGCUGCGGCUGCCAGAGAAGCUCAGCGAGGUACGACGCCGUCCAGCACCGCCCACACCACCAGGAGCCUCCGCGUGGCCGUCCUCUUCUCUGGACGCGCUGCAGCACGGUCGCCGUGGCCUGAGAUGCGCAGAGCGCGCUCUCUGCCGCCGACGAGCCCGUGAGGCCGUUCCGUCGAAGGCCUGGAGUAUCGCCCAAGUUGUACCAAGAUUAGCCUCUGGAUGGGACCAGUAGACCAAUCCGUAGCUGCCCAGUCGCCUAAAACCUCCGUUCGACCGCUUCUCGCCGUAAUCAUCGCUGGAGUUAUCCCGUUCUCGGCAACCGCCUCGGACCGGCUAUAAAAGGGAGCCUCGAGCUCGCCUUCGACCCAGCACCACUCCUACACCUCACCAGAGCCACGCCUAGCUACUAGGGAGACCUCGGGGAGGCCUUCUUCCCCGACUCCGGCCGCCCCGAUCCGCUUUGGGCUCCGACACGAUUCCCUCUGGUGAGACCACCCCCGCCUCCCAAACCUUGCCAGCAGCCUCAUCAUGCACCCACUCUUCUAACCUGAGCCCCAAUUUGAUGGUUGCAGCCCUCCUCGGCGAGAUCCAUCACCACCCGAACCACCGUCCGCCGGAGUAGAGGCCGCCGUCGACGUGGUGCUCGCCGACGACCAACUCCACCACCCACAGGUGCGGAAGAGCACCGUGAGUCCGUAGGUACCAACCACUUCCCCUACCUCGUCGGGGAUCGACGCCGGCGGCCACCGCGGUCCUCGGGCGCCAGUGUGCUCUGUUUGAAAUUCAAACCUGACGGGUGGGACCCCCUCGUCAGCUUUUUCUCUUUUUCGAAACGUCAUCCGGUCAGGGGGCAUGGGUGUUUCUGGUUGGGACCGAGAGGGGGGCACCCCUUAGAGCGUGCGAUAUAAAUUUGAUCCCAUGCUACUCGAGGUUGUGGCCUCCCCGUCUUAAAGUUUUUUUGAACGUUGCCUAGGGUGAUCCCUAGCAGCGGAAUGUGGAAUGGGUGUGUACUCGUUAGAUGUGUUUCUCCUAAAAUACCGUAAACGGAACUAGUUCUUUGUGACUACUGAAAUCUGUUGGCUGUGGUUAAAGAGUACAAACUCUGCAGAGUCAAAACCCAUCCGAGUAACCGUGUCCAUGGUCAAGGAUCUUGGUCAACAUAUCCAUAUCAGUAUCAGUAUCAGUCUCAACGUCCGUCUCAGCGUCAGUCUCUGUGUCAGUCUCAGUGAAAAUCCCCGGUGAAUAAACAUGAAUGGUAAACCCGGCUGAAUGUUAUUCCUGUGGAUGGACUAACCAGUUUAUUAUUACAUACAUGAGUAUUCCCUUGAGGUGAUUUAAAUUCAUGAGCUACUUGAAUUCGAAUAAUGAAAUAUAAGCCCUUUAUGUGAUGUCGCUCAGACGUCCGACUGUGGCACUCUUGUUAUUUUUACUUUUGAUAUAAGCCCUUUAUGUGAUGUCGCUCAGAUGUCCGACUGUGGCACUCNNNNNNNNNNNNNNNNNNNNNNNNNNNNNNNNNNNNNNNNNNNNNNNNNNNNNNNNNNNNNNNNNNNNNNNNNNNNNNNNNNNNNNNNNNNNNNNNNNNNNNNNNNNNNNNNNNNNNNNNNNNNNNNNNNNNNNNNNNNNNNNNNNNNNNNNNNNNNNNNNNNNNNNNNNNNNNNNNNNNNNNNNNNNNNNNNNNNNNNNNNNNNNNNNNNNNNNNNNNNNNNNNNNNNNNNNNNNNNNNNNNNNNNNNNNNNNNNNNNNNNNNNNNNNNNNNNNNNNNNNNNNNCACUCAGACGUCCGACUGUGGCACUCUUGUUAUUUACUUUUGAUAUAAGCCCUUUAUGUGAUGUCGCUCAGACGUCCGACUGUGGCACUCUUGUUAUUUACUUUUGAUAUAAGCCCUUUAUGUGAUGUCGCUCAGACGUCCGACUGUGGCACUCUUGUUAUUUACUUUGAUAUAAGCCCGUUAUGUGAUGUCGCUCAGACGUCCGACUGUGGCAUUCUUGCUAUUUACUUUUGAUAUAAGCCCUUUUUGAGAUGUCGCUUAGACGUCCGACUAUGGCACGCACUGUCGUUUAUAUUUCAAUAUGAGCCCUUUAUGUGGUGUCGCUCUGACGCCCGACUGCGGCAUUGUUAAUUUAUUUUACCUUUCGAGGCGUCGCUUCAGACACCCGAUCGGUCUUCAACUAUUUUAUUGGGAUUUCGGGAGGACUACCGCCUGACUUCCUUUUUAUUUAUCGUGCAGUGCAAUUUAUUAUCUGAGUGCGCAUUACUAAUCUGCUCAUGUGCAUCAUGUUUGCAUUUGUUAUAUCUUAUGUCCAAACUGUCUUGCGAGUACAUUCAAAGUACUCACCUGGCUUGUUGAUUUGGCCAGAUGUUGACGAAGGCGAUCUUAUGGAUGAAGAGUUCGAUAGCGAGUCCGAUGCCUAGAGGAGUCCCAGUCAGUUUCGUGCGAUCCUGGAAUUGGUCACUUGUGUUAUAUACGCUUCCGCUACACCAAUAAAAUCAUCGAGCCUCACUCCGGCGCUCGAUGAGCUGUAAAAUUUAGGAGUCUUGUCACCCAUUUCGCUGUGACAUAUCCACCACUACUUUGGUUACGAGUCAGUAGUUAUGCCACCAUACUCCUUGUGUCAUAUCCACCCUUAUGUAUUAUAUCGGCGUGCUUGUAAUAAAUUGUUGAGCAACCUCAGCUCAACCUUGUAUGAUAUUUAGUACUUCUGGAUUUCUGUAUCAAGGAUUUGUCCACUAGUAAGAAGGAUUCUUCUAUACUGGUUUGAUAUAAGGGUCGGUUUC
rnacentral:lncRNA from 1 species